UUUCCGUAGGUGAACCUGCGGAAGGAUCAUUAUCGUACAAAAUGUGAGGGGCAUGCGAGGGCUGUCGCUGACCCAAAAGUCGUGCACGCCCGAGUGUGUCCUCUUGCAUAAUAAUCCAUCUCACCCUUUGUGCAUCACCGCGUGGGCACCCUUCGGGAUCAUCUCGGAGGGGGGCUCGCGCUUUCACACAAACCCCCCUUUUAAAGGUGUAGAAUGACCACAUUUAUGCAAUCAAUACAACUUUCAACAACGGAUCUCUUGGCUCUC
rnacentral:misc_RNA from 1 species